rnacentral:rRNA from 1 species
CGGGUCGACGUCGUAACCUAACUAGUAGUUCGAAUUCGGUACGAAACUUUCGUUACACCGACUAGUCGUAGACUAGUACCGUACGAGUUGAGUGGCGACGGGUGAGUAACACGUAGGUAACCUGCCCCGGAGCGGGGGAUAACAUUUGGAAACAGAUGCUAAUACCGCAUAACAACAAAAGCCACAUGGCUUUUGUUUAAAAGAUGGCUUUGGCUAUCACUCUGGGAUGGACCUGCGGUGCAUUAGCUAGUUGGUAAGGUAACGGCUUACCAAGGCGAUGAUGCAUAGCCGAGUUGAGAGACUGAUCGGCCACAAUGGAACUGAGACACGGUCCAUACUCCUACGGGAGGCAGCAGUAGGGAAUCUUCCACAAUGGGCGCAAGCCUGAUGGAGCAACACCGCGUGAGUGAAGAAGGGUUUCGGCUCGUAAAGCUCUGUUGUUGGAGAAGAACGUGCGUGAGAGUAACUGUUCACGCAGUGACGGUAUCCAACCAGAAAGUCACGGCUAACUACGUGCCAGCAGCCGCGGUAA